rnacentral:rRNA from 1 species
AUUGAACGCUAGCGGCAUGCCUAACACAUGCAAGUCGAACGAGUGGCGGAAGGGUGAGUAAUGUCCGGGAAACUGCCCGAUGGAGGGGUAUACCUACUCGAAACGGUAGCUAAUACCGCAUAACACGCGAUGUACCCAGAUGGGAUUAGCUUGUUGGUGGUGGAACGGCUCACCAAGGGGACGAUCCCUAGCGGGUCUGAGAGGGUGACCAGCGACACUGGAACUGCGGCACGGCCCAGAGUCCUACGGGAGGCAGCAGUGGGGAAGAUUGCGCAAUGGGCGCAAGCCUGAUAGAGCCAUGCCGCGUGUAUGAAGAAGGCCUUCGGGUUGUAAAGUACUUUCAGCGGGGAGGCGUUACCCGCAGAAGAAGCACCGGCUAACUCCGUGCCAGCAGCCGCGGUAAUUC